CUGAGACUGUGGCUGACAUGUCUCCCCAGGUGAAUAUAAAAAUACCCAAAGGACAGAGCCCUUCAGCAGCGGUUGCUUUUCAUCUUUGAAGUUCACAGGCUGAAACAAGUUGCAUCUGCAGCCUCACACACAGAGAAAACUCCGGUGUCUUAUCUUCCAUUGAGCUGCAUCUGAUGAAGGUUGCUGACAGCAUAAUGGCUGGGAAAACGUCGGACAGCUCCAUAAAAUGGCAGCUAUGUUAUGACAUGUCAGCCAGGACCUGGUGGAUGGAGAGAAGCUGCAGAUGAAGGCACUGGUUUGGAAGCCCACCUAUGGGAAGUAAUAGCUGAGCAUGGAGGACGGAGGCAGAUAGCAUGGAGACUGCCAAGGAGGAGAGCCGAGAUGAUCAUUCAAAUGACAUACCAGAAGAAAAAUUUGGCACUGCCCAACUGAUUGGCCUCAGCACUGCCAUAGCAAGCUGUGAACCUUGACCUCCCUUUCCCAAAGUUCUGUGAGUCUGCCUCCCACUGUCCUGCAUUCUGGAAAGGACAGAAACAACACCACAUAUAGGCAGAAAAGUCAUGGGAUGGGAGGAUUUAAAGAUCUGUGAAAGGUUUGGGGGCCAUCACACCUGGGAUUGGCCAUGUCGAAAGUGUGUCCCUGGGUCAAAGCAUUGUGUAUAGUAGCCUUCUGAAGACUGCAAACAUUAGACCUGAUGGAAGAAACAUGUCCUGUUUAUACACAUUAGUAUUGUUACUCAUAAAAACAGCAGCUCAUGGUUUGUUAUGGGCAAAGUUGUGUCCCCUCAAAAAGAAAUGUUGGACUGGAACCCCCAGAUCCUCAGAAUGUGACCUUAUUCAGAGAUAAUGUCUUUACAAAGAUAAUCAAGUUUUAUAGGACCAGUGUCCUAGCAAAAGGCAAAGUUUGAAUGGAGACAGACAGACACACACACACACAAAGAUAAAGACAGAGUCUUAUGUAUCUGGGUAUUAAGAUCUCUUAUUGUUGCAUUGAUCCUUUUACCACUGUAUCUUUGUUGCUUUGAAAUCUAUUUUAUCAAAUGUGAGAAUUGCAACUCCUGCUUUUUGUUUAUUUAUUUAUUUUUGCUCUCCAUUUGGUUGGUAAACUUUUCUCCAACGCUUUGUUUUGAGUCUCUGUGUAUCUUUGGAUAUACCAUUAGGUUUUGGCUGUAUCUUUUGAUUGGGGGAUUUAGUCGAUUCAAAUUUAGGAUUACUGCCAUUUGAUGUUAACUGACUAUUUUAUCCAUUUCUUGAUGUAAAUUCUUCUUUAUGUUGAUGCUCUUUACUUUUUGGUAUAUUUUUAGAAAGGCUCAUAAUGGUUGUUCCUUUCUAUGUAUAAUGCUUCUUUCAGAAGUUCUUGUAAAGCAGGCCUGGUGGUAAUAAAAUCUCAGAGUACUUGCUUGUUCA
rnacentral:lncRNA from 13 species